GACGAACGCUGGCGGCGUGCUUAACACAUGCAAGUCGAGCGGUAAGGCCCUUUCGGGGGUACACGAGCGGCGAACGGGUGAGUAACACGUGGGUGACCUGCCCUCAGCUCUGGGAUAAGCCUGGGAAACCGGGUCUAAUACUGGAUAUGACUCCAUGACGCAUGUUGUGGGGUGGAAAGCCUUGUGCGGCUGAGGAUGGGCCCGCGGCCUAUCAGCUUGUUGGUGGGGUGANGGCCUACCAAGGCGACGACGGGUAGCCGGCCUGAGGGGCGACCGGCCACACUGGGGCUGAGACACGGCCCAGACUCCUACGGGAGGCAGCAGUGGGGAAUCUUGCGCAAUGGGCGAAAGCCUGACGCAGCGACG
rnacentral:rRNA from 1 species